CACGGAGCAGGCAGCUUUCCCGAAAAUAAAAUGAGAAUCCCCAGGAAACAGGGAAAAUUGAAGGCAGGAGGGCUGAACCAGAAUAGACACAGGCUGGAUUUGGCCUCGGGGCUGUGGUUUCUGUUCCACGGGGCCCGCACUACAGGCCGCCCCGCUCUACAAUGCCCCCUUGGGUCACUUCUACUAGCAGGGCGGCUGACGCACCCCUCCCUGGACCAGGUGAGCGCUUCCUGUUGGACACGCCCACGAUUCCCCGGUCUACCUCUCUGCUAAUACCCAGCCUGGCACAGAGCCCUACACACACGAAGAGUUCAGGAGGGACGUACAACCCGGAAGCAUUUCAGGAUGAAAGGGACCUCAUGUCUGCCACUUACCCUCAAAUGGCCCAGGAAGGAAACAGCAGAAAGAGAAACAGUCCCACGAGCAAACUGGCAACAAGUUGCCUUUGGGGGUGUCCCGGCGACGAGUACGCGAAGUGGUUUGUAGUACUUUUGCAAGUCUUCUGUCAGCCUGAAGUUAUUUCAAAAUAAAAAGUGGGGGUUUCUUGUUUUGCUU